CAGCCGCCGCGGUAAUACGUAGGGUGCGAGCGUUAAUCGGAAUUACUGGGCGUAAAGCGUGCGCAGGUGGUUUUGUAAGUCAGAUGUGAAAUCCCCGGGCUCAACCUGGGAACUGCGUUUGAAACUACAAGGCUAGAGUGUGGCAGAGGGGGGUGGAAUUCCGCGUGUAGCAGUGAAAUGCGUAGAGAUGUGGAGGAACACCGAUGGCGAAGGCAGCCCCCUGGGUCAACACUGACGCUCAGGCACGAAAGCAUGGGGAGCAAACAGGAUUAGAUACCCUGGUAGUCCAUGCCCUAAACGAUGUCAACUAGUUGUCGGGCCUUAACGGGCUUGGUAACGUAGCUAACGCGUGAAGUUGACCGCCUGGGGAGUACGAUCGCAAGAUUAAAACUCAAAGGAAUUGACGGGGACCCGCACAAGCGGUGGAUUAUGUGGAUUAAUUCGAUGCAACGCGAAAAACCUUACCUACCCUUGACAUGUAUCGAAGCCCGCAGAAAAGUGGGUGUGCCCGAAAGGGAACGAUAACACAGGUGCUGCAUGGCUGUCGUCAGCUCGUGUCGUGAGAUGUUGGGUUAAGUCCCGCAACGAGCGCAACCCUUGUCAUUAAUUGCCAUCCUUUAGUUGGGCACUUUAAUGAGACUGCCGGUGACAAACCGGAGGAAGGUGGGGAUGACGUCAAGUCCUCAUGGCCCUUAUGGGUAGGGCUUCACACGUAAUACAAUGGCGCGUACAGAGGGUUGCCAACCCGCGAGGGGGAGCUAAUCUCAGAAAGCGCGUCGUAGUCCGGAUCGGAGUCUGCAACUCGACUCCGUGAAGUCGGAAUCGCUAGUAAUCGCGGAUCAGCAUGUCGCGGUGAAUACGUUCCCGGGUCUUGUACACACCGCCCGUCACACCAUGGGAGUGGGUUCCACCAGAAGCAGGUAGUCUAACCGCAAGGAGGGCGCUUGCCACGGUGAGAUUCAUGACUGGGGUGAAGUCGUAACAAGGUAACCGUA
rnacentral:rRNA from 1 species